CCUACGGGAGGCAGCCGUGGGGAAUAUUGCACAAUGGGGGAAACCCUGAUGCAGCGACGCCGCGUGAGUGAAGAAGUAUUUCGGUACGUAAAGCUCUAUCAGCAGGGAAGAAAAUGACGGUACCUGACUAAGAAGCCCCGGCUAACUACGUGCCAGCAGCCGCGGUAAUACGUAGGGGGCAAGCGUUAUCCGGAUUUACUGGGUGUAAAGGGAGCGUAGACGGCAGCGCAAGUCUGGAGUGAAAUCCCAUGGCUUAACCAUGGAACUGCUUUGGAAACUGUGCAGCUAGAGUGCAGGAGAGGGAAGCGGAAUGCCUAGUGUAGCGGUGAAAUGCGUAGAUAUUAGGAGGAACACCAGUGGCGAAGGCGGCUUACUGGACUGUAACUGACGUUGAGGCUCGAAAGCGUGGGGAGCAAACAGGAUUAGAUACCCCGGUAGUC
rnacentral:rRNA from 1 species